GUUUUCGGGAAAGGUGAGGGAGCAAUGACCACAGUGUUGGGAGGUUGUUUUUUAGUUUUGAACGUAACCGUAGUCUCUGUCUGUUGCACUUCAAAGACCAACUAAAGUACUGGAUGAUAGAGUCACUCAAGGGUCAUAAUGGGAUUGGUGCAAUACUCUGUGGCCCUCCUGAUGUUAUCCACACAGUUGGUGCUCAGCUUUCCCACACCACAGAACACCUACAACAUUGGUGGGAGAGAGUGUAAAUAUUGUCCUGCAGGUAUGUAUCAGAGUGAUUGUACAACAUGUGAACACUGUCCUGCUGGAAGUUACACAACUGACUUGAACUAUGAAGAUGAAUGCCAUCGCUGCUUUGGAGACUGCAACCCUAAGUUUCAUCUUAAAGUGGUUCAGAACUGCACCAGUACGUCUGAUAUGAAAUGUGACUGCGAGGAUGGUUUUAGAUGCAUCAGGUGGGCCCAUGACAAAAAGAACUGCUUGUCUUGUGAGAAGAUGCCAGACCCAACCCCAACCAAAGCAGCAGCUACAGAGAUCUCAGUCAGAGAUAAACACACGCCUUUCUCAGUUUCCUCCGGACAUACCAGCACUUCUCCCAAACCCUGCCAAUCUCCAGGGUGUCACCCAACGAAAGAGCCGAAUCCCACGGGAGGUCAUGCCAACCAUUACCUGGCAGCUAUUUUCAUUCCAGUGGGUGUCCUUGCAACUUUGGCCCUUCUCACCUUGUUCUGUGUCUGUCGUCCAAGAGAUGAGACAUAUAUAAGGCAAACUAUUGCAAAGCUCUGGAAUGAGGAAGGGCGAGGUGCUUCUCACAAGUCAAGGGAGCCAACUCAUCAGUUCCCCAGAGACUCAUUCAGUACAAAGCAGCAGCCCUCAACACCUUCAGCAGCCAAUCUUGGUCCAGUCCAUGUGCACAAUCCAGGCACAGUCAUCUUUAGCUUGCUCAGUCAAUUUACGGGUCAAGUCGGGCCAACGACCGAAUGUGGGAAGACGGCUGAGAGAGCGAGGAGAGAGGAAGAGGAUGAGAGAAACUGUCCAGUGUUUCAUCCUGCAUCUUCUCCCAGCAUUCAUCUCUCUGAGGAGGAGAGGAGUGGAGAGAAUGACACCAUUUUCUUCCCUUCCCAGGAGCAGGGGAAAGACUCCCACAUGUCGAAAGAGGAGAUCCUAUGAUGCAUCUCAAAAAAUUCAGAAGACUUGGAUACAACAAACUUUGAAACCACAGAUGAGUAUGGAUCAUAUUCGUCUUUCCUCAGCAAGCUGCGGAUGCACUGACUUUGUUUCUGCAGCUUCUGGAAAACACUCACCUCAGAAAUGUAUUAAAUCUCGGAAGAACAGCUGCAAAGUGGUCUUCUUUGUAAGUUAUGAUUUACGAACUCUUGUAUAUACUUUUAAUAAGCUUCUUUGGCUCAGUGCAAAGAAUGCCAUCCAAGGUGUAGAAAGCUUUGUUAGGUAGUUAUUAGGUAGUUUUAGUCAAAUUUAUUAAGUUUAUUUUAAAUGAAAAAGAAAUAGAAGAAAAAAUGUACACAGAACAUCCACAUGUGAUAUUGAAAAGCUGGCUACAAAAGCAGCUAAUUAUGUCUGCACAUAUAUGUAGAUAUACAUGAAAUAUGUUUAACUUUAUGUACUAUAGUACAUACUUUCCUUUCACUGCCACAAUGUCCCCUCUGUCUUAUCAGUUCCAAGAUUUUUACCCACCACAAUUUUAUACACUUCAAAGUCACAGAUGCCAAAAUGAUCAUCUGUCCUCUCAGGAAACAGCAACAGUUUCAAACUUUCCACCUUCUGGCAUUUCACUGAUCAGCACGGCGCGGAGUGCCUUUUAGCUCCAUUUAAAUGUCCAAAAGCAGUGACGAAUGUUUUCCAUCUGGGAUGUGCCACCGAGUGUCUUGUUAGGUUCUCGCUCCUCCAAAUUCCAGAUCUGGUCUUUAACACAUAGGUUGGUCACAUUUCCCGCACACUUCCUGGACGGGCUUGGACACUUCUUCAUCACAUGCAGGUUGUGUGGCAGGUUUUUCAGCCAAGAAGUACCCUAAGCAGCAAGAAAUGACGGGAUGGUUUUAAUAAGAAUUUAAACAUUUGGGGGUAUUUAUAACACAAAAGUUCUAAGAAAAAUAUUAAGUGAUUUAAAAGAAAUCUACUAACCGUGAGUGAACCUAAUCCAGACUAAAAAUGGCUUGAUUUUUGUCACAACAACCAGUGCAAUUCCUGUACACAGGAGGGCAAUUAUCACCAGGAACCACACCGUAUCUAUAAUAACACAUGAGAGAGUUAGUUUCCAUAAUUUACAUCAGUUCAAUAAUUUCACAGGCAACACAAUUUGGCUACUUUACCUGCAAUCGGUUUAGUGGCGAGCCUGGUGGUGGUAACAUCAGGUGUCGCCACUAGAGGGAAACAUAAAAAAAAGAGAACCUUAUAAGUUCACUGCAGGCAUUAUUAGUUCGAUGACAAGAUGACACUAUUGUGGCUUGGAUUUGUCAGUGAGCUCACUCUUUUGUCCCUAAUGUUUAACUUAUUUCAUCAUGUGUUUGUGUGUGUGUGUGUGUGUUUGAAUGUGUGUGUCCUUUCUCCACGGUUACUACAGAAGAGGCAAACAGUUACAAGAACAUGCAAAUAGCUUCCAAGCAUUAUUAACAGCUCAUUUGUUUGGAUUAUUUUUAGUCAUGUAACAGUUUCAGCUGAAUCAGAAACAUUUUAGGGAUUCUGACUAUGACCUGUCCACAUUACUGUAUGUAGGCAGGAUUACAGUACAGGAAAACACAUGCUACAACUAGGGCCUCUACAGUGACAUUUAAAAAAAGAGACACAACAGACUGUUUUGCUCACCUGCCCUCGUACAGAGCCCAGAGUGAUAAUAACACAGGACACGACAUUAAGACUUUGAAUCAGUUAACAGAUUCAUGUACUACACCCCUAAAUCUGCCUGUCUUCUAGAACUUGUUAUCAUGGAUUGCUACACUGUUACUGAGUUAUGUUGUAGGGGGGAUGGAGGCAUGAAAGGAAAUUUCCUUUAAGCACUGCGCAGAGCUUUGCCAGGAGGCUGUUGAGGUAGACAAGAGAAGUGCACAAUUCUCACAUUCUCACCUGUGUCUGUGCUCUCCUCUGUGGUUAGGUUUAGGCAACUCAAGCACUUCACAUGAAGUUAGUAAAUUCCCUAACCUUUGUGAAGUGCUGAUGGUGCCAAAACGUAACCAUAAUUAAAAAAAAUCUGUUUAAGCUGUAAGUUGUAAACAACAUUUCUUCAUUGUGUUUCAUGAAAAAUGCGAUCCGAUAACAAAUAUUUUAUUUUUUAAUUUGUUGUUGUUUUAAACACUUUUAAACACUGAUGUUAUCACCUCAGAGUGCAUACUUGUCCCUCGCAGACACAGUGGGUUUAAGGUGGAUGACAUCAGCGUUAAAGGCAUCUAAACUCAUUACUGGCAGACUGAAAGAUGCUAAAAGGCCACAUAGAGCUGACUGACCUCUGUAGGGUUGUGGGUGAUGACUAUCUAUGAUUGGGUUUCUCUAAGCAAGUCUUGACGUUAGUGCUGCUUUACAAUAUCCUGAUGGUACUUUUGUGUUGAUAUCUUCUUUUCUUUGGGUUAAAAUAUGCACUCAAAAAAUUAGUCUUUGCCCUCAUAAACACAAAAUGAAACUGAAGUAUAUCAAAUCAAAGGUUUAUUCAUUUAAUUCAUUAAUCGUGAUUUUUUUUUAGGGAGCUCAAUGUAAGUUUCAUUUGGCCAGAUUCCAUUAAUUUGAACAUUUUACGUUGUACUUACGUAACUGAAUUUUUUCAUGUAAUCAGAUUACUUAAAUGCCACCACUUUGGGCAUGAAUAUUUUUUGAGUGUGAAUGUUUCCUUGUUUGUAGGUACCCCACUGGAUCCAGACAAACACGCUAGUAAAUGCUCUUGUGCAUACAUGUAAAUAAACAGUUUCUUUUAACAAACUUAUUACUCUGAGCUACUUUCAGUCUUGUUUUCAUAAAAUAAGGCAUUUGAACUCAUGGGUUCUCAGGAGUAUUUUUAAAUAAAAAAGAAGUUAUAUUCCCAGAUGUAGUUAAAUGAGUAACUUCUCAUGAAAAAUGAGCAUUUGCUGCCCUUUUGUGGUUCAGCCUGUACACUCAGACAAGUUUGACGCCUAAAUCAUUUUGGUGUAAAAGAUGAGUAUAUCUGUUAUGUUAUUGCUUUUCAUGGUAGUGUUAAAUUAGUCUCCGAUCUUAUGUCUUUGGGCAACGCAUCUACAAUGUUAUUUUUUGUGCUUUUACACUGAUAAUCUGUAGCAAAUUGUUAAUGAAAGAAUGCAAAACGACAAAGCUCCUUAAUGAGAAUGUGAUGCUGCACGUGGCCCUCAAGUGUGUUAUGGUUGAAACUAUUCAAAACAAAACACUGCAAUGAAUAAAUGAUAACCACUGUGUCAACAAUUGUUUCACAUUUAGUUGACUGUGCCGAGAAGGGCUCACUUACCAGUAGUAGAUGGAGGGACGGUGGGUUUGAUUGUGGAUACACACUCUUUACAGUCUUGGUCUUUGCACUUGUAGCCAGCCUUACAUGGGCACACAUUGUUAUGAGUCGGGUUGCAGUCUGUCUUGACCUCCACUUUUGCUGUGGAAAAACACGGUCAUUGUUAAAAGUGAUUUAAAGACGGAUAAAGUUGAAAGUGUGUGCAAAGGAUGUCUUUGUGAUAAAACUGAAAAUGUGAAAUGACUCACAAAGCUAGGCACGACAGGUAAAGAUUCUGGUUUGAAGUCAUAAGACCGUUAUAUUAUCACGUCUGGUGCUUCUUCUUUAGAGAAUUUUAAACACUUUUUAAACACUGAUGUUAUCACCUCAGAGUGCAUACUUGUCCCUCGCAGACACAGUGGGUUUAAGGUGGAUGACAUCAGCGUUAAGUGCAUCUAAACUCAUUACUGGCAGACUUUAAAAACUAGAAACAACGAGCUGAAAGAUGCUAAAAGGCCACAUAGAGCUGACUGACCUCUGUAGGGUUGUGGGUGAUGACUAUCUAUGAUUGGGUUUCUCUAAGCAAGUCUUGACGUUAGUGCUGCUUUACAAUAUCCUGAUGGUACUUUUGUGUUGAUAUCUUCUUUUCUUUGGGUUAAAAUAUGCACUCAAAAAAUUAGUCUUUGCCCUCAUAAACACAAAAUGAAACUGAAGUAUAUCAAAUCAAAGGUUUAUUCAUUUAAUUCAUUAAUUGUGAUUUAUUUUUUUUUGGGAGCUCAAUGUAAGUUUCAUUUGGCCAGAUUCCAUUAAUUUGAACAUUUUACGUUGUACUUACGUAACUGAAUUUUUUCAUGUAAUCAGAUUACUUAACGCCACCACUUUGGGCAUGAAUAUUUUUUGAGUGUGAAUGUUUCCUUGUUUGUAGGUACCCCACUGGAUCCAGACAAACACGCUAGUAAAUGCUCUUGUGCAUACAUGUAAAUAAACAGUUUCUUUUAACAAACUUAUUACUCUGAGCUACUUUCAGUCUUGUUUUCAUAAAAUAAGGCAUUUGAACUCAUGGGUUCUCAGGAGUAUUUUUAAAUAAAAAGAAGUUAUAUUCCCAGAUGUAGUUAAAUGAGUAACUUCUCAUGAAAAAUGAGCAUUUGCUGCCCUUUUGUGGUUCAGCCUGUACACUCAGACAAGUUUGACGCCUAAAUCAUUUUGGUGUAAAAGAUGAGUAUAUCUGUUAUGUUAUUGCUUUUCAUGGUAGUGUUAAAUUAGUCUCUGAUCUUAUGUCUUUGGGCAACGCAUCUACAAUGUUAUUUUUUGUGCUUUUACACUGAUAAUCUGUAGCAAAUUGUUAAUGAAAGAAUGCAAAACGACAAAGCUCCUUAAUGAGAAUGUGAUGCUGCACGUGGCCCUCAAGUGUGUUAUGGUUGAAACUAUUCAAAACAAAACACUGCAAUGAAUAAAUGAUAACCACUGUGUCAACAAUUGUUUCACAUUUAGUUGACUGUGCCGAGAAGGGCUCACUUACCAGUAGUAGAUGGAGGGACGGUGGGUUUGAUUGUGGAUACACACUCUUUACAGUCUUGGUCUUUGCACUUGUAGCCAGCCUUACAUGUGCACACAGUGUUAUGAGUCGCGCUGCAUUCUGUCUUGACCUCCAUGUUUGCUGUGGAAAAACA
ensembl:lncRNA